AAAUUGAGAAGCAAGGAACACAAAAUUAAUAAAUUAUGUGUUGUAAUAUAUUUUAUUAUUUUUUAAUACAUUUCUCAACCAUUUUUGUGUUUGUGUUGCACCUCCAUGAUUGUACACGUAACACACACACGUACGUACACAUAUAUGCAUUGCUCUAAGUAUAAAAUUCCAAUUUUUAAAAACAUGCAAUAAAUUAGUGAAUGGUUGUAGAUGAUUGUUUACACUAGCUAGUACAUUUUGAUCUUAUUACAUCAGAAGAAGAUAUUAUACCUUUUGUUUGCCACCCGACUUAAGAGACUAUCCACUUCCUUCUUUCAUUUCCGUUGCAUUUCCUUAAUUUCGCUUAGUCAUUGGAGGAUGUAACUGCAAGAAUGUCCUUGAGUAUUGUAGACCGUAGUCCACUCUGAAAAACCAUUUCCCCAAAGCAUUUGCGUCAAAUGGUUGAAGUGGAGGAUUGAAGCAUUCUUUAUCUUUCGGGUUUUGAAGCGCAUUAUGGCAUAAUGAGUGCCUUUGGAGACGUGGGGUGAUUACAUGUUUCCUUUGGUGGAGUUUCGAUUGUUGGAUUUCUUGCAUGUGAUCCAAUCCCUUUGAUCUUGGGGGCCAUAAUUCUAUAAAUAUGUGGGGAACCUCUUCAUCAUCUUCUUUGAUUUAUUCAUGCUUUAUCUUAUUCUCCUCUUAGUUCUCAACUUCUCCUCCUCAAAUCAAGUUAGUGAAAUUUAGUAGUUGAAGGUUGAGGAUGUUUUUGUGAUUUCCACCCUUUUUGCUACAUUUGAACGUUGGUGCUAUUUUUUUUCUUCACGAAUCAGGUUUAUUUCUCUAAGGUGUUUUGGCACUAUUGCAUGAUGGUCAAACUUUAGUAGAAUUGUAGACCCUUACAUUGUUGAGCUGGAGCUAAGAUGAUGAAAAAACCCACAAGAAAAUUGGACAAAACACACGGUCCAUAGUCUGGAUGACAUGUGUAGAUUGCAAGGACAACAAAUAUUCCUUAUUCUUUGGGUCAUUUCUCUUUCAUUGUCAUUUUAGGGUUGACUUAUUGUGUAAAGGGGGAUAAUAUAAAUAUAUGUUAAGAAACUUUAUACCCUAUGUUUGAUUGUGGUUCAAACCUCCAACCAUAGCAAUGUGUUCUAUCUUCGACUAAAGCACUAGUGGUUGACAAAUCAUUAGUUCUAUUUGGUGGUUUAAGUUAGGUUAUUUCUAUUUUACUUCUUUAAUUUGUAAUGGAUUUAAAUAUCUGUUUCUUGUGUAUGGUUUAUCUCUUGCACACCAUGAGUUAAAUCAUUUGUGUUGGAUUUAUAAUGAAUUUGAUUAUGAAGUAGUUAUGUUUAAA